GAUCAUGGCUCAGAUUGAACGCUGGCGGCAUGCCUUACACAUGCAAGUCGAACGGCAGCGGGGCCUUCGGGGUGCCGGCGAGUGGCGAACGGGUGAGUAAUGCAUCGGAACGUGCCAUUGAGUGGGGGAUAACGUAGCGAAAGUUACGCUAAUACCGCAUAUUCUGUGAGCAGGAAAGCAGGGGACCGCAAGGCCUUGCGCUCUUUGAGCGGCCGAUGUCAGAUUAGCUAGUUGGUGAGGUAAGGGCUUACCAAGGCGACGAUCUGUAGCGGGGUCUGAGAGGAUGAUCCGCCACACUGGAACUGAGACACGGUCCAGACUCCUACGGGAGGCAGCAGUGGGGAAUUUUGGACAAUGGGCGCAAGCCUGAUCCAGCCAUGCCGCGUGAGUGAAGAAGGCCUUCGGGUUGUAAAGCUCUUUCGGCCGGGAAGAAAUCGCAUGGGUUAAUACCCUGUGUGGAUGACGGUACCGGAAUAAGAAGCACCGGCUAACUACGUG
rnacentral:rRNA from 1 species